rnacentral:rRNA from 1 species
GACGAACGCUGGCGGCGUGCUUAACACAUGCAAGUCGAACGGUGAAGCGCCUUCCUUUUUGGUGGGUGUGGAUGAGUGGCGAACGGGUGAGUAACACGUGAGUAACCUGCCCCCUUCUUCUGGAUAACCGCAUGAAAGUGUGGCUAAUACGGGAUAUUCUGGGUCUGUCGCAUGAUGGGUCUGGGAAAGAUAUUGUUUCGGUGGGGGAUGGGCUCGCGGCCUAUCAGCUUGUUGGUGGGGUGAUGGCCUACCAAGGCGGUGACGGGUAGCCGGCCUGAGAGGGUGGACGGUCACACUGGGACUGAGACACGGCCCGGACUCCUACGGGAGGCAGCAGUGGGGAAUAUUGCACAGUGGGCGCAAGCCUGAUGCAGCGACGCCGCGUGAGGGAUGGAGGCCUUCGGGUUGUGAACCUCUUUCGCCAGUGAAGCAGGCCUGCCUCGUUUGUGGGUGGGUUGACGGUAGCUGGAUAAGAAGCGCCGGCUAACUACGUG